UUAACUAAAAUUUGUAUGGAGUUGGAUCGUUUGCUUAUGUUUGCCACUACCGCUGUUCCAACUCCAUACAAAUUUGAGUUA
rnacentral:pre_miRNA from 1 species